rnacentral:tRNA from 1 species
GCGGGUGUCGUAUAGUGGUUAUUAUGUGAGCUUCCCAAGCUCAAGAGGAGGGUUCGACUCCCUUCACCCGCUCCA